AAAUUGAAGAGUUUGAUCAUGGCUCAGAUUGAACGCUGGCGGCAGGCCUAACACAUGCAAGUCGAACGGUAACAGGAAGCAGCUUGCUGCUUCGCUGACGAGUGGCGGACGGGUGAGUAAUGUCUGGGAAACUGCCUGAUGGAGGGGGAUAACUACUGGAAACGGUGGCUAAUACCGCAUAACGUCGCAAGACCAAAGAGGGGGACCUUUGGGCCUCUUGCCAUCAGAUGUGCCCAGAUGGGAUUAGCUUGUUGGUGAGGUAACGGCUCACCAAGGCGACGAUCCCUAGCUGGUCUGAGAGGAUGACCAGCCACACUGGAACUGAGACACGG
rnacentral:rRNA from 1 species